rnacentral:lncRNA from 1 species
UUCAAUGAAACUAGGAAAAUCUGAGGGUUAUUUAGUGCAAUUCACGGUUAAUCUGGGGCAUUGAGGUUUAUGGUUUAUCGAAAGGACAACUGAACAUCAAUUUGUAUGCAAGUGUGUCAUGUGUGGAGAAGGAACUCUAGCUAACCAAUCAUCCAUUCAAAUCCCCAAUUUUGUGCAAAUCUGUCUAGUUCUAGUUUCUGUUUUGUUUUUACUUUAUUUUCGUCCAAAACCCAAUCCCCCUUUACUUUAGAGUGUCUAAUUAGUUAGAAUCUGUUUUGUUUGUGUUUUUGAGUGUUUUGAGUCAAGCCAAAACCCUAAAUUCGUCCAAAGUUGUGUUUAGAGUCAGAAACUACCUAGUUGGUAUUUUUAGACAUUUUUGAGUGUUUUUAAGUUGUUUUGAGUCUUGUGAACCUGUUUUGAGUCCUUUGAGUCUAUUCUAACGUUUUUAACCUUGUUUUUAUGUUUUUGAGUCAGUUUAGAGGUUUUAGCAAGCCCUCACAAUCCCUGAUUUAGAACGAUCCCUACUUGCAUUUAUACUACAAUUUGACAAUAAGAGGUUUUAAUUUGAGUGUUAAGUUAAUUUUCGCAUCAAGAGGGAGAGGAAGCAACGGGAGAGAGGGUGAGAGAUGUGAGGUGACAGACCAAAAAGAAGGAAAAUGAUGAAGUGAUGUGUGUGGUGGAACAAGUGUAGGUUUCUAAAACCCAAGAUAAAUAUUUAAUGGCCCAUUUGUCCACAACCCAUGUGAUGUUCAAUUUUUCAAACCCAUGCAUGCCUUUGGUAUGCACGAGGGUCAUUAGAUAGACAAGACCAAGGCAGCCCACUGCACGAAGCCACAGUUCAAGUUUUGAAAUUAUCCCGAUAGUUUUACACAGUGUCGGACAUAACGGUUCGUCACAAUUCCGAAUUGAGUUCCGCUUGAGGUCAUGUGUUUGUAAAAAUGAGGACUAUUUAAAAAUAGUAAAAUAAGAGUGGAAAAGUGAAGGGAAAAUUGAGGUCCAUGUGGAAGGCCUACAUGGCAUCUCAAGGGCAUUUUGAUAAUUUCACUACUAUUGAGAAUAAAAUAUAAUAAAUCUUGGGACAACAUGUCACAAUACAUACCACAUUGUAUUUAAGUAUUACUUCAAAACAUAAAAACACAUUUGUCUUGUAAGUAUUACAUACUCCAAAUAACAACCUAUGAAAAGACAUUAUUCGUACUUGUAGAUUAAUUAUUAUAAAGGGAUUAAGUACCUAAAAGUCCUCAACCUUUUAGUGUCAUUUUAAAUUGGUCUCAACCUUUAUAAAUAUUCCAAACAAGUACCCAACCUAUUAAAAAUGUCAAAUUUGUUAAGCCUCAGUUAAAAAUUUGUUAAAUUAACUAGGCUAAUGUUGUCGCCAAAA